rnacentral:rRNA from 1 species
GAACGGACCCUUCGGGGUUAGUGGCGGACGGGUGAGUAACACGUGGGAACGUGCCUUUAGGUUCGGAAUAGCUCCUGGAAACGGGUGGUAAUGCCGAAUGUGCCCUUCGGGGGAAAGAUUUAUCGCCUUUAGAGCGGCCCGCGUCUGAUUAGCUAGUUGGUGAGGUAAUGGCUCACCAAGGCGACGAUCAGUAGCUGGUCUGAGAGGAUGACCAGCCACAUUGGGACUGAGACACGGCCCAAACUCCUACGGGAGGCAGCAGUGGGGAAUCUUGCGCAAUGGGCGAAAGCCUGACGCAGCCAUGCCGCGUGAAUGAUGAAGGUCUUAGGAUUGUAAAAUUCUUUCACCGGGGACGAUAAUGACGGUACCCGGAGAAGAAGCCCCGGCUAACUUCGUGCCAGCAGCCGCGGUAAUACGAAGGGGGCUAGCGUUGCUCGGAAUUACUGGGCGUAAAGGGCGCGUAGGCGGAUCGUUAAGUCAGAGGUGAAAUCCCGGAGCUCAACUUCGGAACUGCCUUUGAUACUGGCGAUCUUGAGUGUGAGAGAGGUAUGUGGAACUCCGAGUGUAGAGGUGAAAUUCGUAGAUAUUCGGAAGAACACCAGUGGCGAAGGCGACAUACUGGCUCAUUACUGACGCUGAGGCGCGAAAGCGUGGGGAGCAAACAGGAUUAGAUACCCUGGUAGUCCACGCCGUAAACGAUGAUUGCUAGUUGUCGGGCUGCAUGCAGUUCGGUGACGCAGCUAACGCAUUAAGCAAUCCGCCUGGGGAGUACGGUCGCAAGAUUA